rnacentral:rRNA from 1 species
AGAGUUUGAUCCUGGCUCAGGACGAACGCUGGCGGCGUGCCUAAUACAUGCAAGUUGAGCGCUGAAGGUUGGUACUUGUACCGACUGGAUGAGCAGCGAACGGGUGAGUAACGCGUGGGGAAUCUGCCUUUGAGCGGGGGACAACAUUUGGAAACGAAUGCUAAUACCGCAUAAAAACUUUAAACACAAGUUUUAAGUUUGAAAGAUGCAAUUGCAUCACUCAAAGAUGAUCCCGCGUUGUAUUAGCUAGUUGGUGAGGUAAAGGCUCACCAAGGCGAUGAUACAUAGCCGACCUGAGAGGGUGAUCGGCCACAUUGGGACUGAGACACGGCCCAAACUCCUACGGGAGGCAGCAGUAGGGAAUCUUCGGCAAUGGACGAAAGUCUGACCGAGCAACGCCGCGUGAGUGAAGAAGGUUUUCGGAUCGUAAAACUCUGUUGGUAGAGAAGAACGUUGAUGAGAGUGGAAAGCUCAUCAAGUGACGGUAACUACCCAGAAAGGGACGGCUAACUACGUGCCAGCAGCCGCGGUAAUACGUAGGUCCCGAGCGUUGUCCGGAUUUAUUGGGCGUAAAGCGAGCGCAGGUGGUUUAUUAAGUCUGGUGUAAAAGGCAGUGGCUCAACCAUUGUAUGCAUUGGAAACUGGUAGACUUGAGUGCAGGAGAGGAGAGUGGAAUUCCAUGUGUAGCGGUGAAAUGCGUAGAUAUAUGGAGGAACACCGGUGGCGAAAGCGGCUCUCUGGCCUGUAACUGACACUGAGGCUCGAAAGCGUGGGGAGCAAACAGGAUUAGAUACCCUGGUAGUCCACGCCGUAAACG